rnacentral:rRNA from 1 species
UACGGAGGGGGCAAGCGUUGUUCGGAAUCAUUGGGCGUAAAGGGCGCGUAGGCGGCCGAUCAAGUCGGGUGUGAAAUCCCUCGGCUCAACCGAGGAACUGCACUCGAUACUGAUCGGCUCGAGUCCGGGAGGGGAUGGUGGAAUUCCUAGUGUAGCGGUGAAAUGCGUAGAUAUUGGGAAGAACACCGGUGGCGAAGGCGGCCAUCUGGACCGGAACUGACGCUGAGGCGCGAAAGCCAGGGGAGCGAAUGGG